UCCAAACAAGCUAUUGGCUACGUAGCCCA
rnacentral:sRNA from 1 species